rnacentral:rRNA from 1 species
GACGAACGCUGGCGGCGUGCUUAACACAUGCAAGUCGAACGGAAAGGCCCUGCUUUUGUGGGGUGCUCGAGUGGCGAACGGGUGAGUAACACGUGAUUAACCUGCCCUUUACUUUGGGAUAACUUCCGGAAACUGGGGCUAAUACCGGAUAGGAGCUCCUGCUGCAUGGUGGGGGUUGGAAAGUUUCGGCGGUUGGGGAUGGACUCGCGGCUUAUCAGCUUGUUGGUGGGGUAGUGGCUUACCAAGGCUUUGACGGGUAGCCGGCCUGAGAGGGUGACCGGCCACAUGGGGACUGAGAUACGGCCCAGACUCAUACGGGAGGCAGCAGUGGGGAAUAUUGCACAAUGGGCGGAAGCCUGAGGCAGCAACGCAGCGUGCGGGAUGACGGACUUCGGGUUGUAAACCGCUUUCGCCUGUGACGAAGCGUGAGUGACGGUAAUGGGUAAAGAAGCACCGGCUAACUACGUG